rnacentral:rRNA from 1 species
GACGAACGCUGGCGGCGUGCUUAACACAUGCAAGUCGAACGGAAAGGCCCUGCUUUUGUGGGGUGCUCGAGUGGCGAACGGGUGAGUAACACGUGAGUAACCUGCCCUUGACUUUGGGAUAACUUCAGGAAACUGGGGCUAAUACCGGAUAGGAGCUCCUGCUGCAUGGUGGGGGUUGGAAAGUUUCGGCGGUUGGGGAUGGACUCGCGGCUUAUCAGCUUGUUGGUGUGGUAGUGGCUUACCAAGGCUUUGACGGGUAGCCGGCCUGAGAGGGUGACCGGCCACAUUGGGACUGAGAUACGGCCCAGACUCCUACGGGAGGCAGCAGUGGGGAAUAUUGCACAAUGGGCGGAAGCCUGAUGCAGCAACGCCGCGUGCGGAAUGACGGCCUUCGGGUUGUAAACCGCUUUCGCCUGUGACGAAGCGUGAGUGACGGUAAUGGGUAAAGAAGCACCGGCUAACUACGUG